GAUGAACGCUGGCGGCGUGCCUAAUACAUGCAAGUCGAGCGAACGGACGAGAAGCUUGCUUCUCUGAUGUUAGCGGCGGACGGGUGAGUAACACGUGGAUAACCUACCUAUAAGACUGGGAUAACUUCGGGAAACCGGAGCUAAUCCCGGAUAAUAUUAUGAACCGCAUGGUUGAAAAGUGAAAGACGGUCUUGCUGUCACUUAUAGAUGGAUCCGCGCUGCAUUAGCUAGUUGGUAAGGUAACGGCUUACCAAGGCAACGAUGCAUAGCCGACCUGUGAGGGUGAUCGGCCACACUGGAACUGAGACACGGUCCAGACUCCUACGGGAGGCAGCAGUCGGCAAUCUUCCGCAAUGGGCGAAAGCCUUACGGAGCAACGCCGCGUGAGUGAUGACGGUCUUCGGAUCGUAAAACUCUGUUAUUAGGUAAGAACAUAUGUGUAAGUAACUGUGCACAUCUUGACGGUACCUAAUCAGAAAGCCACGGCUAACUACGUG
rnacentral:rRNA from 1 species